AAUAAAGCUUGCAAAGGUGUAAAGAAACCUUCAAUAAUGCUAUUCACAAAAGUAUAAUUGGUUUUUUUUUUGGGGUGGGGAGGAGACAUAUUCAAAGUAAAUUUAAAAAUUUAGGCCAUAAUAGUUCAAUUGCAAAAAUCCUCCAUAUUGGAGGAUUACAUUUUCCGUUCCCUAUUUUGACAUAAAAAAUGUAAAUUCGGGUGGGAUCUGAACGCUUAACUGAGUGGUCGCACACAGUUGGAGCUCCGCACAACUUUUUGUUGUAAACUUACCUUGUCGACCCUCCAUCCGCACUUAUUCAGCCGGUAAUACUCCACUACUCAUGGGAACAACAUUUCCUACUAGCAUAC